UACGGAGGGUGCGAGCGUUGUCCGGAAUCACUGGGCGUAAAGGGCGCGUAGGCGGCCCGAUAAGUAGGGGGUGAAAUCCUGCGGCUUAACCGCAGGGCUGCCUUCUAAACUGUCGGGCUAGAGCACGGUAGAGGCAGAUGGAAUUCCCGGUGUAGUGGUGGAAUGCGUAGAUAUCGGGAGGAACACCAGUGGCGAAGGCGGUUGCCUGGAGCUUUGCUGACGCUGAUGCGCGAAAGCGUGGGGAGCGAUCCGG
rnacentral:rRNA from 1 species